AUUGAACGCUGGCGGCAGGCCUAACACAUGCAAGUCGAACGAGUGGCGGACGGGUGAGUACUGUCUGGGAACCUGCCCGAUGGAGGGGGAUAACUACUGGAAACGGUAGCUAAUACCGCAUACUAUCGGAUGUGCCCAGAUGGGAUUAGCCAGUAGGUGGGGUAAAGGCUCACCUAGGCGACGAUCCCUAGCUGGUCUGAGAGGAUGGCCAGCCAGACUGGAACUGAGACACGGGCCAGACUCCUACGGGAGGCAGCAGGGGGGAAUAUUGCACAAUGGGCGCAAGCCUGAUGCAGCCAUGCCGCGUGUAUGAAGAAGGCCUUAGGGUUGUAAAGUACUUGCAGCGGGGAGGCGUUACCCGCAGAAGAAGCACCGGCUAACUACGUGCCAGCAGCCGCGGUAAUAC
rnacentral:rRNA from 1 species